CAGUGGGUAGUUUAAGCGUAGAAUAGAGGCUUUGGGUGCCUCAGGUCUUUGGUAAAGCUUGCUGA
rnacentral:tRNA from 1 species